rnacentral:snRNA from 1 species
CAUGUGCCCAUCUUCACCAU